GAAAUGCGAUACUUGGUGUGAAUUGCAGAAUCCCGUGAACCAUCGAGUCUUUGAACGCAAGUUGCGCCCGAGGCCUUUGGCCGAGGGCACGUCUGCCUGGGCGUCACGCAUCGCAACCCCCCAAAACUGCUUUUGUGGCUGAGGGGAGGACGAUGGUUUCCCGUGCCUCACCGGGCGUGGUUGGCCUAAAUUUGGAGCCUAAGGCAUCGAGUUGCCGCGGCGAUAGGUGGAGAACAAGGCCUUGGCCGUGGAAUCAACCAGUCGCGCAGUUCUUUGACGGUAAGAGCUCGCAGGACCCAUUGUUGUCGCCUUGUUGCGACAGAAACGUUGCGACCCCAGGUCAGGCGGGGCUACCCGCUGAAUUUAA
rnacentral:misc_RNA from 1 species